GAAAAGCCUUUGACCAGCUUAACUGGUUAUAUAUGGAGGCUAUGCUGUCAAAACUGGAAUUUUCAGAGUCGUUCCUCAAGAGGAUAAUGGUGCUAUAUUCCCGUCCAACAGCUAAAGUGUUUAAUACUGGCUUUCUAUCAUCUGCCAUCCUGAUCUCAAAUGGCACACGCCAAGGCUGUCCCCUCUCAUCUCUUAUCUUUAUACUUAGUCUAUAGCCUCUAAUCAGACAGAUCAACACUUGUAAUUCCAUUCGAGGGUUGUCCACUCCUAUACAUGGUCCAUAGACUUUACUUGCAGGCACACUUCCAGUGCUGCCUGCAAAUUAAUUAUAUUAACGUCUUGAUAUUGUGCUGUGCGCUCUGGCAACGAACAUCAUUUCUGCACAGAAUUGACAGUUGGUAGUCUGGAACGGAGUUCCAGGCUGCCAAAGUCACAUGUGUUGGGGGUUCUUAUUCUAACCUUCAUUAGAGCCGAUGAAUCCCUGCCUCUAAGGUUUAAAGGACUGUUGUCCUUUGUGGGUUAACACCACCUCAACUGGGAACCUGGAUACCAAUAACUGUUUCUCUAUUUAAAAAAAAAAAAACUAUAGUACCCCCGUCCCCUGCAGCACCC